CACUCAGAGCAGCGGAGGCCAGGCCAGGCCUGGGCACAGCCCUCCACUCAUGGGCUUGCUGCCUCCAGUGGCCUGGCAGGGAGGGCGGCCUCCUGCCUGUGGAGCUGGACUGGCCCCGAGGCUCCGGGUCAUGGAAGCACCCCCAGCCGUGGCAUCUGCAGCUGCCUCCCAGCAGGCGGUGUGGCCAUGUGGGGCAAUUCUCAUGCUCUCAGAGCCCAUGAGGACAGUUGGGGGUGCAGGUGUGGGUGUGAAUGGGCCACAUGUGGAGGGCAGAAAGCCCGAUGCUGCCCAGCUGAGACUGCCCAUGAGACGGAAGAGCUCCCGGGCGACCCCGUGGGUCUACCUGGACUCCUGUGGUGACCUAAUGAACCAUCCUGUGCCUGACCUCAGGCCCUGUGCCCACUGCUGACUCGGAGCCUCAGGGUAGUGCUGUGUGGACUGAGGCUCUGGGAGGCAGUCCAGCCCUCACAGCCUGUGGGUGCUGGGAUCUUUGUGGCCAUUGUCUCCAGACGAGGUCCUUUCUGGAGGCCUGAGCUGUGUGAACAGCACCUCUGAGGUCAGAACAGCCUCUGCACACGCCCCUUAGACCUCAGCAGGUUCCCCGCAACGUUUCUGAGAGCCUGGCUCUGGGCUCGGAUGACGGGGACCUCGUGCCCACCCUGCUGCCCCGUCUCUGGCUGGCCUAGUGCAGAGUCAGGGCUCUGGCCACCACCCAGUGGUGUCAGUGGAGACCACAUGAGGAGCCCGAAUUCCCACCUGCCUAGUUCACAAGGAGGACCUGGACUUGUACCUGUGCACAGUCCUGGCCAAGCCCCUUGUGAUGCCCGAGUCAGAGAUGACCAGACCGAACAGAGGAGCCAGUGACGUGGGAGGUGAGGUUUCAAUAGGUGAUGGCUUGUCACUCUGAGAACCAGGAGGAUGAAAAGGAACGUGCCAUCUGUACCUGCCAACGUCAGGCAACGGGCGUGAGAUCGAUGGACCUGGAUGACCAGUCCACAGCAACGAUAGACAGGUCCACGGCCAGGAAAACUGGGACACCUGAGGAAAGACAAGGGAACAGGGACACUGCAGAGGACAAAGUGGACCUGUGACCCCCGUGGCCACCACUGAGUCAGAGCCUGCAGGAUCCGCCACGCCCUGCAGCCCCUGGAGCCUGCUGCACGGGCCCAGGCCUUCAGCACAGGACCUGGGGGAGAGUCCAGGGCCAAACCAAGCAGGAGAAACAGAAGAGACGCCAGUGGACGUGAAACAGAGAGUGGUGGAGGGCGUCCAUGAGACAAAGGCUGCUCCUUUGACCAGAUCAAUAGGGUUGACAAACGCCUCGUAAGAGAGGAGACACUGUCACCAGGGUCAGGAGUGAGAGGGGUGUCACCCAGCUCCUGCAUGGGGAUUGGACUCAGGGGCCCUCGACCCUCAGGUGGCCCUAUUUUCUAUUUUAUUUAGAGACAGGGUCUCACUGAGUUGCUUAGUGCCUCGCUUUUGCUGAGUCUGGCUUUGAACUUGAGAUCCUCCUGCACCAGCCUCCCCAGCUGCUGGGGUGACAGGCGGGCGCCCCCACAGCUGGCAACACCCAUUCUUCACUCUAUCUUCUAGAAAAUAGAGGGCAAGAGAUACUUCCCAACCCAACUUAAGACCAGUGUUAGCUGGAUCCUAAAACCAGAUAACAGACAAGUGAC
rnacentral:lncRNA from 1 species